UUGGCGCUUUCUACAGGCUCGCCAUCAGAACUGAGCCCGGUGUAAGAGAAAUCACACGGGGGGUUGCUUCCUCUUCCAGCUCCCUCUUUGUGAAUGGAUGGCGUGGAGACGGCUGCAGCAUUCCACAUUGAUAAAUCAUCCUUCAAUUCAUCUCACGGUUAAUACGCUUGUUUCCGAGGGCAAAAAAAACUUUGAGGAGAGGACAGCCCCCAGUAGGGCAGAAAGGGCCUGGAUGGGUGGCGGAUGUGCCUGACAUCAGACUCCUUAGCCCUUAAGAUGAGAGAAUCCUUGCCCUCGCAGGGGAAAACCAGAUCUGCUCCCGUGCGAAUGCUGAGACAUUCAUGUUCCGUCUAAUGAUACCUGUGGAAUAUCUACCACCAUGGUGGUGGUGAAACAGAUUCCAACACUUCAGUGGGAAUGUCAAGUUUGGAAAGUUUGGGAGCACAAUUUGGCGAGAGCUUCACUGUGUCAACCCUGCAUCUGGCUGAGGAAGAAAUAUCCCAGUCUGCUGGCGCUCAAAGAACUAUCGGAGACCAAGCACCUGUUCAACCUCAGGCAGGAG